CCUACGGGUGACAGCAGUGAGGAAUAUUCGUCAAUGGACGAGAGUCUGAACCAGCAAAGUAGCGUGAAGGAUGACUGCCCUAUGGGCUGUAAACUUCUUUUAUAUGGGAAUAAAAUGGUCCACGUGUGGGAUUUUGUAUGUACCAUAUGUAUACGGAUCGGCUAACUCCGUGCCAGCCGCCGCGGUAAUACGGAGGAUCCGAGCGUUAUCCGGAUUUAUUGGGUUUAAAGGGAGCGUAGGUGGAUUGUUAAGUCAGUUGUGAAAGUUUGCGGCUCAACCGGAAAAUUGCAGUUGAAACUGGCAGUCUUGAGUACAGUAGAGGUGGGCGGAAUUCGUUGUGUAGCGGUGAAAUGCUUAGAUAUCACGAAGAACUCCGAUUGCGAAGGCAGCUCACUGGUCUGCAACUGACACUGAGGCUCGAAAGUGUGGGUAUCAAACAGGAUUAGAUACCCUGGUAGUC
rnacentral:rRNA from 1 species